rnacentral:rRNA from 1 species
ACGUAGGGGGCAAGCGUUAUCCGGAAUUAUUGGGCGUAAAGAGUGCGUAGGUGGUUUUUUAAGCUUGAGGUGAAAGGCAAUAGCUUAACUAUUGUAAGCCUUGCGAACUGGAAGACUUGAGUGCAGGGAAGGAAAGGGGAAUUCCUAGUGUGGGGGUAAAAGGCGUGGAAAUUAGAGGGAACACCGGUGCCGAGGGGGCCUUUCUGGACGGUACCGGCCACUGAGGGACGAAGGCAGGGGGACAAACAG